CACCUACUCCAUAUGAUUGUACAUUUGAGAAUCAGCAACAACCAAUAUGUAGUUGGACUCAGGACACCUCUGACCAGUUCAACUGGACACCAAAAGUGGGCAGUACUGGUUCACUCAACACAGGACCAACUUUUGAUCAUACAUUACAAAAUAGAAAUGUCCCUGGAGUACCUGGUGUUGCUUAUAUCCUUAAAGCUGCAUGCAGGGGACCCCACAUUUGUGAAGAACAAUGUUGUUGGCUGUAGAGUGAUCAGGGUUUUGACAGAACUGGAUAUUCCAAGUUUCUGAUAGACAUAGAGGAAAGAAUCUUCCAGGCAACUAAUGCCCCCUAUACCAUCAUCAACAGUAAUGGAGGUCAAGGUCAAGGAAAUGCUCUGAUGUCAAUUGUGUCAAUUUUUGAUGGACAGCUCACUAAAUAUUUUAGAGUGACCAGAUAAAUGGACAGUCUUAAAUGGAACCAAUAAAAGACAAUUCUUGACUUUCAAACAGCCCAGAUGUUACUGUAGAAUGCUCCAUGGAGGACUGUUUGAUUACCCAUUACCAGAAGAAGAUGACUUCUGUCAUGUUACUGUUUGAUAACAGUGAAGGUACAGUAGGUUCAGACAAGUUAUAUACAUGUAAACAGGACAAGACAGCUCAGACCCGCAGUUUGUUAUAACAGCAAAAAGUGAUAAAGUUACAGCCAUGAAGUCUUCAUGAUGAUGAUCCUAUUUAUAGAUUCUUUGCAAUUAUCUGUAAGGAAGAGGUUUCUGCUGCAGAGAAGAAAAAAAAUC